CAGAUUCAGCAUUCCAGAUGAUUCCCAGAACCUCUUGGUAUCUUCUUCUAAUAGUAGAACUUCCCCUUUUACUGGACAUGUAUAGAAGGCUCAAGAUUAAUAUGGGAUAUUUCUACAGUUGCCAUCAAAGGGACCAUCUCAUUACAAGCAUUGAUGGAAUAUGGCUAAAAUAUGCUGCCUUAUCAUCAGUGCUCGGCUAGUUUCACAUUGCCGUUCUCUCCCGUUCUGCUAGUCUCCUGUCAUUGCUGCUAAACGGACCACACUAACAAAUGGAUGCAAACUGAUGCCAUUGAGUGGCAUCCUGUUUUAUCAGUUUUUAAUCCUUCUUGAAUCAAUAGUGGCAGAAGUGGAUAAUAAACUUGAGAUGGUUGCCCUCUAAGUUUUCUUUUCUAUCAAUUACCAAUCAG